rnacentral:tRNA from 1 species
CUGUAGCUCAGCUGGACAGAGCAGCGGCCUUCUAAGCCGCGGGUCGUGGGUUCGAAUCCCUCCAG